CCUACGGGCGGCAGCAGUGGGGAAUAUUGGACAAUGGGGGCAACCCUGAUCCAGCCAUGCCGCGUGUGUGAAGAAGGCCCUCGGGUUGUAAAGCACUUUCAGUGAGGAAGAACGCCUGGUGGUUAAUACCCAUCAGGAAAGACAUCACUCACAGAAGAAGCACCGGCUAACUCCGUGCCAGCAGCCGCGGUAAUACGGAGGGUGCGAGCGUUAAUCGGAAUUACUGGGCGUAAAGCGCGCGUAGGUGGCUUGAUAAGCCGGUUGUGAAAGCCCCGGGCUCAACCUGGGAACGGCAUCCGGAACUGUCAAGCUAGAGUGCAGGAGAGGAAGGUAGAAUUCCCGGUGUAGCGGUGAAAUGCGUAGAGAUCGGGAGGAAUACCAGUGGCGAAGGCGGCCUUCUGGACUGAAACUGACACUGAGGUGCGAAAGCGUGGGGAGCAAACAGGAUUAGAUACCCCAGUAGUC
rnacentral:rRNA from 1 species